rnacentral:tRNA from 1 species
UAACAAGAAAUUUUUUAAUUUCGAACUAAAACUAGGUUAUAAUAAACCCUUGUUAA